AGACGGCUUCACACAGGGACGCGGGCUGCCAUCUUGCUCUAAGUGAAAGUGAAAGAAAAGUCGGCAGCAGAGGGAACAGGGAAGAAACCUAAAGGCUGCAGGCUGCCAGGUGUGCUUGGAGAGCCCCCUUCUUCCGCCGGGCCUCGCAAGCAGCGUAGGACUGUGGAGAAGGGCGGUGGGCAAGGAGGGAACUCGAGAGCAGCCUCCAUGGGCACACAGGAGGGCUGGUGCCUGCUGCUCUGCCUGGCUCUAUCUGGAGCAGCAGAAACCAAGCCCCACCCAGCAGAGGGGCAGUGGCGGGCAGUGGACGUGGUCCUAGACUGCUUCCUGGCGAAGGACGGUGCGCACCGUGGAGCUCUCGCCAGCAGUGAGGACAGGGCAAGGGCCUCCCUUGUGCUGAAGCAGGUGCCAGUGCUGGACGAUGGCUCCCUGGAGGACUUCACCGAUUUCCAAGGGGGCACACUGGCCCAAGAUGACCCACCUAUUAUCUUUGAGGCCUCAGUGGACCUGGUCCAGAUUCCCCAGGCCGAGGCCUUGCUCCAUGCUGACUGCAGUGGGAAGGAGGUGACCUGUGAGAUCUCCCGCUACUUUCUCCAGAUGACAGAGACCACUGUUAAGACAGCAGCUUGGUUCAUGGCCAACAUGCAGGUCUCUGGAGGGGGACCUAGCAUCUCCUUGGUGAUGAAGACUCCCAGGGUCACCAAGAAUGAGGCGCUCUGGCACCCGACGCUGAACUUGCCACUGAGCCCCCAGGGGACUGUGCGAACUGCAGUGGAGUUCCAGGUGAUGACACAGACCCAAUCCCUGAGCUUCCUGCUGGGGUCCUCAGCCUCCUUGGACUGUGGCUUCUCCAUGGCACCGGGCUUGGACCUCAUCAGUGUGGAGUGGCGACUGCAGCACAAGGGCAGGGGUCAGUUGGUGUACAGCUGGACCGCAGGGCAGGGGCAGGCUGUGCGGAAGGGCGCUACCCUGGAGCCUGCACAACUGGGCAUGGCCAGGGAUGCCUCCCUCACCCUGCCCGGCCUCACUAUACAGGACGAGGGGACCUACAUUUGCCAGAUCACCACCUCUCUGUACCGAGCUCAGCAGAUCAUCCAGCUCAACAUCCAAGCUUCCCCUAAAGUACGACUGAGCUUGGCAAACGAAGCUCUGCUGCCCACCCUCAUCUGCGACAUUGCUGGCUAUUACCCUCUGGAUGUGGUGGUGACGUGGACCCGAGAGGAGCUGGGUGGAUCCCCAGCCCAAGUCUCUGGUGCCUCCUUCUCCAGCCUCAGGCAAAGCGUGGCAGGCACCUACAGCAUCUCCUCCUCUCUCACCGCAGAACCUGGCUCUGCAGGUGCCACUUACACCUGCCAGGUCACACACAUCUCUCUGGAGGAGCCCCUUGGGGCCAGCACCCAGGUUGUCCCACCAGAGCGGAGAACAGCCUUGGGAGUCAUCUUUGCCAGCAGUCUCUUCCUUCUUGCACUGAUGUUCCUGGGGCUUCAGAGACGGCAAGCACCUACAGGACUUGGGCUGCUUCAGGCUGAACGCUGGGAGACCACUUCCUGUGCUGACACACAGAGCUCCCAUCUCCAUGAAGACCGCACAGCGCGUGUAAGCCAGCCCAGCUGACCUAAAGCGACAUGAGACUACUAGAAAGAAACGACACCCUUCCCCAAGCCCCCACAGCUACUCCAACCCAAACAACAACCAAGCCAGUUUAAUGAAGUGCCUUUCACCUGCCGCCAUGAUUCUGAGGCCUUCCCAGCCAUGUGGAACUAAUCGGGAGCUUGGGGCGAGAGUUGUCAAGGAGGUGCCGAGCCCCCACACCAGAGUCAACUCACAUUUUUCUGACAGAGAGAGUGAGGGUCUGUUCCUCUCCGGAGGCUGCGGCGAGACACCCGGUGAGGGACGCUGCGGCUGAAGUGGACGGAACUGCCAAGCUCCGCCUCGCGCCGACUACCCCGCGGUCUAGCUGCGCUGGAACUUACUGCAGCUGCCGCGCCGGCCUCCGCCUUUAUUAGUGCUGACCACGCCUCCCGGAUAACGGUGACAACCCCGCGGCCCAAUCCAUGCCCAGGACGGUCGCCCAGCGCUACAGGCCUAGCCCGCCCCGCCCCUGCCAAUUGCCAGUCACAACUCUCCUCUCAUCCGACUCCGGAAAGGAGCGGUUGCUGUGAGGAUCCUUCAGUGAUCAAUGCGACCAUAGUUUGCGCUCCAGUCUGGCGGAGGGACGGGGCGGGGUGGAGAUGAGGUCUGUCCCUUCGGAGGGCGCUUCAGCAGUUUGUUAGGCAUUUGUGGUGCCUCCCAACCAAUCGCUAGGCAGUUACUGAAGACCGUGCCCGCCCCUGCCCCACCCCGCGCCGGGACUCGCGCAUUCAGCUGGAGGCGGCGGCUUCCUGGUGCGCGCCCAGCCCUGGUGCCCUGCUCUGGCCCUCGCUCCGCACCACCGCCCCGCCUCUAACUAACGCUCUGAGAGGGUGCAGGAGCCUCGAGACACAGCCACAAGCUCCUGGUGCCAGAUACCGGAUGCGGGGUUCCGUCCCACCAAAGCAAGCACGAAGCUUUCGUUCAUUCGUUUCUUUCAACAUAGCCUUCCUAAAUUGAACUCCCUCCCAAACCUGCUCCAGUCGAGGUUACCACAUCGACUCAGUUGCCCAGACCAGAAACGUGGAAACCAUCCUAGAUUUCCUCCCCUUCACCUUUACCUCUCCCCCAGUAAUCUGCCAAAUCGAGUUGAUUUUUCCUUCUUGGCAUUCCAGUGAUUAUCUCCCCUCUGCUCACUAUUAUCCCUUUCCUGGACUCCAUCAGUUGGAAAAUUCACCAUUAUUUUAUGUCCCGCUAAGAAAAAAGGUUACAAGGCCGGGCGCAGUGGCUCACACCUGUAAUCCCAGCACUUUGGGAGGCCGAGUCAGGCAGAUUACCUGAGAUCAGGAGUUCGAGACCAGCCUGGCCAACAUGGCGAAACCUCUGUCUCUACUAAAAAUACAAAACAGCCAGGCAUGGUGGCGGGCGCCUGUAAUCCCAGCUACUCGUGAGGCUGAGAUAAGAGAAUCGCUUGAAGCCGGGAGCCGACGGUUGCAGUGAGCCGAGAUCACGCCACUGCACUCCAGCCUGGGCAACAGAGCAAGACCCUGUUUCAAAAAAAAAAAGAAAAAAGGUUGCAAAUUAUCUGUGACAAAUGCUUUCCUUACCACUUAGCAUUUUUGUUUUACAUGUAUUGAAAAUAUGGGUUUAUAUACAUACCGAUUUCUAUAUUUCACUCUUGUGCAUGCAUAAAAAGGGAAAUAGAAAACAAUAACAUGGUAACUAUCCCUAAAA